GGAGAUGAGAAGUGGACUCUGCUCUGUCCUGAAAACCUGGAAUCAUAACAUUUCAUGGCUAGGACUAGAGUGUCCUUGGCGCUGUGUUUCUGGUUGUCAGCGGCAGGCUGCAAUUUUAAUUCUGUAAACCGUGUAUUGCGCGUGUACUUUGGGUGGCCCUGUGCUGCGUCAGCUGGAAGGGAUCCAGAGAAAAAGACAGAGCCCUCUUUGAAGACAUCCAGAGAGAGAUCUAGGAUGUUGGGAAGGAACAAAGAAAUUCAGGCAUCUCUCCUGAGAAGAGAAAGGGAGUAGAAUGCUCCAUCAUGAUGCUAACCACAAGAAUUGACUUGACGGGACAGAAUCAAGGGGAAGAACGUCAGUGAAACUUCUGGUGACAAUCACCCACUUAGCUGGCGUCAAAACAGGCCCUAUUCCUCAGUACCCGGUAUCAAGAGAAGACAACUUUCAGAAGCCCAUUGCCUAGACUUGGAGGAGGCUCUUAAUAUGUUUUUUUUCCACAUUUCAUAAAUUCUUAGGAUUUUUUAAAUUUAAUAUCCUUUAUGAACUAAGGUCAACAAAACUUUAAUCAGUGAAUAUAUUUUUGGUUCUGAGAGUUAGAACACUCCUCCCUUUUAAAACAAAAAAGUUUUUAGAAUUUUGUUGUUAAAUAUAUCUGGACAUAUGAAGAAAACUGAAGUUAUCAGCCUUUUCAAUUGAAUCCUGACACUGAAAUUGUCUUUUGAAACUUACUUUUGUGUAACUAUCCUGGCUCACUGGCACUCUGCUCUGGAAUUAAAUUUCCCUAAUUUCUGUCAACUUUUUGAAUCUGCAACAGUGGGAGCAUAUGAUAUGCUGUAUGAGUAACUGCACAAGUUAUUGUUAGAAAAAUUCCUACUGAUAAGCCCUAUGAGUUUUAUCUGUAACUGUGCAAGUAACCUAAGUAUCUUGUGGAAUUAGAGGCAAUAGUCUGUUUUACAAAGAGUAGGAGAGAGAGAGAAAGAGGUAGAGACAAAGACCAAGACCAGGAGAGGAAGAAGGAGAGAGACAGAAAGGGAGGCAGAGGGAAGAAAGGAAAGAAGAAAGAAAGAAAACAUUAGCAUAAUUUUCCAAGAAUAGGCAUCUCAGUGUCUUGCCUAGAAAUCAAGGUCUUCCUCUGCUCAGAAGCACAGAAACUGUCCAGGAGGGGAAGCUCUAAGUAACGAUAACAAUAGAAACUGAUUGGCUUGACAAUGAGAUAAGACCAGGUAUGUUCCCGGUGACCCACAGUGAAGGAAAAUUCAGUUUUUGCACAGUUUCACUGUGUGGAGAGAAUAUAGCACCAUUACAAAACUUCUUUUAAAGAAAAGACACUUUGGGAAUUGGCCUCAUCUGUUUUUUUGUAGGCAGUUCAGAUAGGAAUAAAGGAAAGAAGAAAACAUCUCCUUCCUUAUUCCCCAUCUGUUUAUCUCACUAUUUCUCAUCCUCCUUACAGACACUCAGCUGGAGGUUCACAGAUCCAGUUUCUUGUAGAUUGCUCCUCAAUGUUGUGGGUAAUUUUAGGCAAAAUAUGCAAAUUUCUUGUUUGGCAUAAGGUUUUUCUUUCUCCUGCUAAAACAAAAAUGUUUCCGCUACAAACCAUUUAAAUACUUCGUAGGGAUUUUGUCAGGAUUAAUGAGGCAACAGACAGUCACAGGUGAUUAUACUUAUUUCAAGAAUGCAUUAUUUUAGUAUGUCUAUUUGGCAUUACAUUGAUUUUUUUUCAGGUCAUUAGCUUAUUAAUUUCUACUAGACAGCAGAGCUGCUGUGUCUUGUUAUUUUUGGAGUUAAAAUGGUGUAAUAUUCUCAGAGAGCUAGACAUCAACUUAGUGAACUGGAACUGGAGAAUAAUUUAUUCUUUGCUACCAUAGAUGUUAAUUAUUUACCACAAGACAGAGCUGGGCAAGAAGAAAUCUCAGAACUUUAGUUUGGAUACAGACUUUGCUUUUUAUGGUCUGUUUCAAUCCCUUUAUUUUACAGAUAAGUAGAUUAAAACAAUUAUGAUUAAGUAUCUUCUCUUAUGUCACACAGUUGUUAUUGAUUGGUUUAUACUUAGGAGCUAGAGCAAGUGUUCCCAGGGAGUACAUUUUGUACUGAAUAUAGCUGUCUUUGUGAAGAGAAAAAUAACAAGAUUUGUAGGUACUGAAAGUUACCCAGAAAUCUCACAUUAGUCUAGGAAGAGGUAUGUAUUAUGAUGCUCAGGGUUACUGUGGCUUGAUAUAAUUAAACAGAUGUAUAUUCGUCUCCUAGAGUCUUCAAAAUAAUGAUAGUGGUGACGAUGACGAUGAUGAUAGUUAGCAGUUUUUAAAGGCUUACUCUGCAACAGGAAUUAUACCUAGAGGUUUAUACACAUUAUCUCAUUUAUUUCCUAAAAUGAUGCCAUGAGGUUGGAUCUAUUAUUUCUUCCAGUCUACAGAAGAAGAACCUGAAGCUUAGAGAUAUUUGGUAAAUUGUUGCAACUUCACUCUGUAAGUAAAUGUCAGAUCUGACCAAUAUGAUGCCACCCUAUGCCUUGUCACAGUAUUAUUCUGCUAUACGUUUGAGAAUCUGCCAAAUUUUCUUAGGCUCAUUAUCCACUACCACCAUAUUCUGACUUGUGGUGGAAUUAAUAAUAUUUCUAGAAGAAAUAUUUGCAAUAUUUAAGCAAAUUUUAGAAUUUUUAUACUAGAAAUAAGAUCUUGGACAUAAUGUAACUGUAUGUCUAGGUGGUGCUAAGUAACGAGACUUUCUGCACUGAGUUUUAGAAUGAAGAAUGGGAAGGAAAGCUCUUCCUAAAUAAAGCAGGAAACAUGGAUACCAGCUUACCAUUUGUAACCAGAGGUGUUUCUUAAUCUUUUUCAGAUCAGUUGUACAAAAGUUAAGACAGCAAUAAUGGUUUUUAUAGAAUGUUCUCAUGACGGUUAAAUAUUAAGAUGUAUGUGAAGUACAUAGCCCAGUACUAGAAAGAUCUGGCGUCUCUUCUGAUUAUUUAUUGCCUGUGCUGUACCAGUUAAUGUUUGGAAUAUCAGUACUGUAUUCAACAGAUAUCUAUUUGAUAUCUAGUAUGUGAUUGGGCCAGUAAUAGGCCCUAAGGGGACAGUACUAUUUUUAUCUUCAUGGUGCUCACUUUCUAGUUGAAGGAGGUAGAAAAAAUAAUUAUUGCGGGUAGUGAUAAGUGAAACAAAAAUAAUAAGACAGGAUUGGGGUAGAGUGACAUGAAUUGGGGAGAAGGAAGGAUUCCAUGAGAUCAGUUGUGAAAGGAGGCUUCUAAGAAAGCAACACUGGAGUUGAGAAGGGAAUAAGAAAGAGCCAACUACCUGGAGAUUGGUAGAAGGAUGAAAAGACAUGCACAAGAUUUGAAGAAGAGUUUAUGAAGAUGAAGGCUUCCAAUGAACUGAGAUUUCUACAUCAUGGGGAGGGUAAUAAAAAUGCUCUUUAAAAUAUGUUAAACAAGGUAUCUGUAUCUAUGUCUGCAUGAAAGUAGAGAGGAGACAGAAUAGCUGAUGCAACAGAUGACAGUGAAUAAUCGAGUAUCUACAGCUUCUACAAUGAUCAUCAACCAGGUUCUUUCUGCCCAACUGCAGCAAGUCAAUCACUGAGAUAAUGGAUUUUGCAAAAGAGAAGACUAUUCAUGAGGCAGCCAGUGAGGAGGUGAAGAACAGGUCUCAACUCCACCUCCCAGAAGAUAAGGCUUAGGGAUAUUUAUAGGUUAUAGAAGUGGGGUCAGCUAAGAUGUGGGAAAAGGUGAUUGUCAGUGGGGGAAAAAUGAAGCAAUCAGUGAUCUAUGCAAACAUAGUUGGGAUAUGUGGCAUUUCAUAGGACACAUUUGCAGAAAAUGAUGGUAUUAUGAUCUGAGGGUGGAAUUUUUGGUCCUCUGAUGUCAAAAUGCUCUCCGGCAUUUACAGAGGCCCAGCUGAAGAGUCAACCAGUUUGAACUGGUCAGGAGCUGUCCCACAUUCCUGAAAAAUAACUGAAGUGACCAUUACCAUGGUGAUUUAUAAAUGUUCAAUUUAUUAUGCCGCUAAUGAAGGUUAAGUUUCAGCGUUCAGUGGUGCAGCCUUCAAUUACUGUGGCUUUCAGCUUCAUGAAAAAAAAAAAAAAAAAAGAAAAGAAAAAGAUAAAAAGCAGGUAACCAAAAGCAAGCAGGGCAUGCUAAAUUUGGCAGACCUAAUCAGAUGAAUCCUCUGUUUCACAGUGCUAUUUUGUUUAUAAUCUUCUUUAUCCAGGAGAACAUUAUUUGAACUAAAAAGAACAAAGCAAGAAUGGUCUGAAAUCACAAGGGGUUCAGAAGAAUGAAACAGAUGAUCUGGAUACUUUUAGAAGGAGUAAUAAUUAUUAAUCCCAACAAAUGACAUUCUUCAGUGUCUAAGCAUUUUCUUUUGUGAUUAAAGAGCUGCCGUGAACAAACCUGGAGGAGAACGUGAUGGGUACCAGAGACCAGAAAUUUACACAUGGCUAUGUUUUCAAAGGACAGGUCAAGAUGUUCCAGCUACUUGGGAAGCUGAGACAGGAUAUCUG
rnacentral:lncRNA from 1 species